CGCCAACGGAGUAUCAGUAGUUUUUCUCUAUUGAAGAGAUUUUCCCAUGCCAUUCAUUUCCCUCCACUUUCAGAAGCGAUAAACCCUCUACCCCUCAGAAGCGAUAAACCCUCUACCCCUCAGAAGCAGCAGCAGCAAUGGCGAAAAUCGCCUUUCAAAAUCUCCUUCCAGCCCUAGGUUUGGGGUUUCCAUCAAAAUCAUUUCUCUCCAGCAGAAUUCCAUCUCUCCCACCUCAUUACCUCUCCUUAAACAGAGGCAGGAGAUUCUCCUCGUCAUCAAAGAUCAGCAUGAGCUUGAAAGCUGGCAUUGUCGGACUCCCCAACGUCGGAAAAUCCACCCUCUUCAAUGCCGUCGUUGAGAAUGGAAAAGCGCAAGCUGCAAAUUUUCCCUUUUGCACGAUAGAGCCCAAUGUUGGGAUUGUUGCAGUUCCAGAUCCACGCUUGAAUGUGCUUUCUGAUCUCAGCAAAUCUCAACGAGCGGUCCCAGCAUCUAUAGAAUUUGUAGAUAUUGCUGGGCUUGUGAAAGGAGCCAGUCAAGGAGAGGGCUUGGGGAAUAAAUUUCUUUCACAUAUUCGUGAAGUGGAUUCCAUUCUUCAGGUUGUCCGCUGUUUUGAGGAUAAUGACAUUGUUCAUGUGAAUGGGAAAAUCGACCCAAAAUCAGAUAUUGAUGUCAUCAACUUAGAGCUGGUUUUCUCUGACCUAGAUCAGAUUGAGAAACGAAUGGAGAAACUCAAGAAGAGCAAAGGGAAAGAUUCACCAUCAAAACUGAAGGAGGAAGCAGAAAGGUCUGCACUGGAAAGAAUUCAACAGGCACUCAUGGAUGGAAAACCAGCUAGAUCAGUUGCUUUAAUAGAUUUUGAAAAGGAGUCUAUACGGCAUCUUUGUUUACUCACAAUGAAACCGAUCAUAUAUGUAGCUAAUGUUGCAGAAUCUGAUCUUUCUGAACCUGGUAACAAUCCUCAUGUCAGAGAUGUGAUUAACCUUGCAUCUGAGUUGCAAUCAGGCCUGGUAACAAUCUCGGCACAGGUUGAGUCCGAGCUUACUGAACUUUCACCUGAAGAAAGAAAUGAGUACUUAAAAUCUCUUGGCGUCGAUGAAAGUGGUCUUGGGACCCUUAUAAGAGCAACGUAUCAACUUUUGGGGCUUCGCACUUACUUUACAUCAGGAGAGAAGGAAACAAAAGCAUGGACUAUACUUGCAGGAAUGACGGCACCACAAGCAGCUGGUGUAAUUCAUUCUGAUUUUGAAAAAGGCUUCAUUCGAGCUGAGACUGUGGCGUAUGAUGAUUUCAUUGCAGCUGGUUCGCUAGCAGCUGCAAGGGAGAAAGGACUUGUAAGUAGUUGAGGUCCGAGGGGAAAGACUACAUUGUACAGGAAGGUGAUGUAAUGCUGUUUCGGUUCAACGUCUGAUCUGAUCAAUGAUUUCAACUAGAAGGUGUGAUACUUUUAUGAAGUGUCACUUGGAGAGGGGUGUGAUACUUUUAUUAAGUGUGUCACUUCGAGAGGGGUGUGAUACUUUUAUUAAGUGUGUCACUCCGAGAGAGGUGUGAUACUUUUAUGAGUAACAACGGGUAAUUCUAAUGUUUGAGCUCUUGGAGCUUUUGGUUCCAUGGACAAUUGGAAUGGUUUUCUUUUUGGGUAUGAUUUACUGAUUUUAUGAGGGUCCCAUCUUGCAACCCAUGUGGAUGCCACCUUUUUUGUACAUAUAAUUUCUGUUUUUCUUGUGGUACCAUCAAACGGAUUGAUCAUUGCAAGUGGGGCAUUCCUUUUUGAUGUUGCCAAUGGCUAGUUGCUAGUGGAGUGCUGUUAUGACUCUUCGGCUGAUGUUGAAGUUGAUCAGACAAUUAGCAGUUCCACACCAGUUAAAUUGUCUGGAAUGUUUUAUAAUUGCAUGCUAGAUGAUAGAUAUUGAUCAAUAAAGGUGACAAUUUCUCAUUA